UCAUAGCAGUAGACCUUUUGUGAAAGCUGUGCAGUAACACUGAUAUUGGCUAGUUAAUAAUCCCGGCUGUUACGAUGUCUAGCUCGUAUACGGGGCGCUCUAUGUGGCCGAAACAAGGGCUCAGAUCACUACAACCGCAUGCGAAAUAGCUCUGAAUGCCUGCCAGUACACUUGUUCGGCGUCUCUGUGGUCAGCCAGUGACAAACGCAUUGCACGAAACAGUGAGACUUUGUUUAAUCCGCAAUGCUUAUGUGGCGAACAGGAGAGCAAAAGGUGAAAACAAUGUUUUCAUACAAGGCAAGUUAUCCAUGUAGUGGAAUUGCAUUUAUCGUUGGUGUAGUGUUGAUGCACUUUCUGAAGUCCAACCUUUAAUGCAACUUAGUUUUCGUUGGUGCAAGUGCUUCUACUGGAAACAUCCAAAAUAUGAUUUAACAAAUCAGGUUGCUGUCUUGUAGUUUUAGAAAUUUUCCUCUGGUCUUAAGUCUUUUCUGAAUCUGGAAGAGCUGGCUGAUUGCACAUUUCAUCUCGAGAUAGCUCGCACACUUCCAGCAGCACAGCUGUCGUCUUCUCGGAAGCAGGCACUGAUGCUUGGAGACCGGCAGAGCACAAACUGCAGCAUGUAUGCCGAAAUAAAUAGCUAUUGCCUAUUUCAAAUAGAACCAAUGUAAGGUGUGGCGAGCCCGGGAGACAGCAAGAGCCGCAGGAGUCCUGGACUAAGGGCGCCUCCCACACAAGCAGAAAGACACCUGCUUUUCCUUUCUUUUCUGUAAUAAAUGUUUUUUCUUCUCCUCCUCCUC